rnacentral:lncRNA from 1 species
UUUUUUUUCCCAGGACAGGUCAAUCCCCGCAUCUUUCUUAAAAUUAGAUAGGCUCCUGGGUGUCUUUGCUAUUUCAUAGGUCAAAGGUCAAUUUGACAGAAGUAAAUCAACCCAUUAAAGUAUUAAUUUAACUUUUUUUUACAACCUGUUACAAGUCUGGGGAUUUCUCAGCACGAAAGGGAAGUUUUAUACUUUCCUUUUUGAAGGUUUUAACGUUUGAGGGACUUUUUUAAUAUCCAGCUACAGGGGUUUAAUGAUCAGGCUGAUAUCUGUUCACAUCUGACUAUUUUGUCUUCCACACUUCUCACCGGGGGAAAGAAAAUCAAUUCAGAGUAGCCUCAAAUUCAAAAAUGCAUCAACAAAACCUGAUGUUCGAAAUUAAAGGAAAGCACUCGAAUUCUUUAGUUUCACGGACUUGGGAUUUUCCAGCUUCGGUCUUCUGAUGCGACUCCAAGCAGCUGCCGAAGUGCUGAUGUUUGUUCUACCUAAAACUGACUCACACUGACGGAGACGCAGACAGUGCAGAGUGCACCUUUGAACUGAAACACCACGAUGGCUUGUUAACUUUCAGUUUUACGAGCUUGCGUGUGUGACAACUGUUGCCGAGAGUCGGCUGGGAAGCAAGCAGGUGAGGACAUAAAAUAAAAAGAAAGAAAGAAAGUUCAGAGGGAAAUUUUGGAUUUUGUCAGGUCUGAUCCCUGCUUGGUACAUUCAUCGUCCAGGCCCAAACCAUCGAGGAAUGGAGGGGCCCCGGAGCUCAGCCAAGCGCUGCGGCAGCCAAGGAAAGAGAGUUGAGAUAGUUUUGAGGAGAGACUUCAAAGAGAUCAAAGAAAAAAACACGCUGUGGACUUCCCUGGAGAGCCGGGCCGAUUCCUCGCCAGUAAAGCAGCCUUUUCCAGGGGAGUGAAGGUUUGGCAGCAUCAACUCUCCCACCCGGCGGUCCCGCUAGAUCAUUACUGGAAUGUGAAUAUAUAUAUAUCAAUUUUAACAAGCAAUUUAUUUGACCCGGUACUGGGUUUGUAAAGACGACUCCAGCGCCAUUGUGCGGUAUUGCUCAUUUCCUGCCGCCCUCUCCCUGUUCUGUCGAUGCUUUUCCAACUUUUUCCAUGCUUAUACAAAUGUUCGGUUUUUCUGAUUAUCUGAAGUAAAUAUGAAAAAAAAAAAACUCCCUCCGGGAGAGAGGGGAGCGGUAACUUGAUGCUGUAAGUGUGUGAAAUACAUAAUGACCAACACAUCUUGCUUUGGUUUGUCUGUGAGUUGCCACACAUGGAUACAGUAGGUCGCUCAAAGGGAAAGUUAAAUUUUUGUUUAAAUAUUAUUGCAUUUUGAAAAUGGAGAAAUGCAAAGGCAGCAUCUUUAGCUUCUAAUGGGUAUUUGUCAAACCCCCACCUCCGGCCAGUCAGUUGGUUUUGUCAGUUGGUCGGCAGUAGUUCCCUAGUGGGAAUAAUUAAUGAUCUUAAUGAGGGCCACUGAUAUCUGAGUGUGUGCACUUUGUUGUGGCUUGAAUUUAUUGAAUUUAAGGGGAGGUAUGGGCUCUAUUGAAUAUCGUUCUAGUUUUCUUGCCACUUGGGAGCCGCAGCAACAUGUUGUGAAUACAUCGUUGGCAUAUUUUUGUAGUUGAUACAGCAGUUACAGAGCAACACAGCAGUAACUCUUUUAGCUCUGUUUUUGGUCUCCACCACCUCCUCAGGGAAAUGUCAUGCUCCUUAGCUGGUAAAUGCUCCACGUUGUUCUCCAGAAUUAGCAUAUAGAAUAUCAAUUUUGUCUUUGGAUUACGAACAUUUUAUUGAUUUUUGUGCCUGGGGCAAAACCAAAGUUAAAAUACAGUAAUUCCUCAGUGGAUGUGGCGUGCAGUGAAGAAGAGAUCGUAGUGCUGCUGCUGCUAAACAGAUGAGCACAGUCCGCGGAAACACUGGAUGUAAUUCAGCCCGCAUGGAAGUUGCCCUUGCGUUGUUCGGCAGCUGCCAUCGUCACCCACAAUGUCACCACUUUAUUUUCACUGAUAAAGG